GUGCUUGCUUCAGCAGCACACAUACUAAAAUUGGAACAACACAGAGAAGAUCAGCAUGGCCCCUGCGCAAAGGAUGACAUUCAAAUUCGUGAAGCAUUCCACACUGGG
rnacentral:snRNA from 1 species